rnacentral:rRNA from 1 species
GACGAACGCUGGCGGCGUGCUUAACACAUGCAAGUCGAACGGAAAGGCCUCUUUCGGGGGGUACUCGAGUGGCGAACGGGUGAGUAACACGUGAGUAACCUGCCCUUGACUUUGGGAUAACUUCAGUAAACUGGGGCUAAUACCGGAUAGGAGCUCCUUCUGCAUGGUUGGGGUUGGAAAGUUUCGGCGGUUGGGGAUGGACUCGCGGCUUAUCAGCUUGUUGGUGGGGUAGUGGCUUACCAAGGCUUUGACGGGUAGCCGGCCUGAGAGGGUGACCGGCCACAUUGGGACUGAGAUGCGGCCCAGACACCUACGGGAGGCAGCAGUGGGGAAUAUUGCACAAGGGGUGGAAGCCUGAUGCAGUAACGCCGUGUGCGGGAUGACGGCCUUCGGGUUGUAAACCGAUUUCGCUCAUGACGAAGCUUUGUGUGACGGUAGUGGGUAAAGAAGCACCGGCUAACUACGUG